rnacentral:tRNA from 1 species
UGGGACGAUGGCUUAGUGGUUAAAGCAAUUACCUUUCAAUCGGUAAGUCACAGGUUCGAAUUCCUCUUCCCUAA